rnacentral:lncRNA from 1 species
AUUGACUUGCAGUCCUUGAGAUCGACAUUCGGGGAAUUUCCCCAUUAUUACUAUAAAAGGCAAAAUAGUACAUUUGUUAUUUUCCCGAUCAGAAAGCUCGGAGGAGACUGAGGAAGCUCUUAUAUUUUCAAGGUCGAAAUCUAAAACUCCUAAGUUGAACAUCAGUCGAAAAAAGAAAAAUAACCAAAAAAAAUCCAAACCCAAGAAAGCCAA